GAUUGAUGAGAGUGAUGAGAGGAAGAGAGAUGGGGUGAGUUAGAGAUAGGGGUCGUGGUCAUUUCUCUGGCGCCCGAGACCCAUUUGUAGGGUCAGUGGGUCUGCUGCUUUUAUUGCUUUCUUUGUCCUUUUCACCUUUUCAUCUCUCUUCCUGCCCUUUUUAUCUCCUUGUUUUCCUUGCUCGUUUCUCAUUCACCAUGAUCAUACAGACCCAUCUCUCUCUUUCUCUCCCCCCUUAACUCUUUAUAUCUUUCGCCUCUCUCACAAUCUGUUUGGUUUAGAGGUCCUUUUUCUUGAGUAAAUAAAUAAGGGCGGUCUAGAGUUUGCUUAGGUUAAUUAGGUUUUUGAUUGAGAAAGAGGGGGGAAAAUAGAAAUGGAAGCUAUUUCUUUUGAGGGGAAUGUUGUCUGGCUCGAGGUCACUAAUGGGAUCUAUGAUUUUAUCUCAAUUGAUUGAUUUUCUUUCAAAUUCUAGUAAAUUGAAUUGAGAGAGAUCAUGAUCAACUUAUAUUUAAUGAUGUCGGACCAGGCUUCAUUCCCCCCAAUUAUUUCUUCCUUUCAAAUCGUUGAUCACUACAAUUAACUUCCCUUCCAUUUUUGGUCUGGAUCUAAAAGGUGAGAGUUAGUAUUUUGUAAAUUUUAUCUUGUUAUUUUCUGUAUGUAUAUUUCUGUGCACAUGUGUGUUUAUUUGUUUUAAAUUGAUUUUGGAAUGUUUUUGUGCAUGGGUUUUUUGGUCAAUAGAAAAACUCUAAUUCUUUUGAGCAUGAGCUCGCAGAUUGGUGUAAUGAUGAGGGAUUUUGACUACCUUUUCUUUUGUUUUCUCCUUCUUUUAUGACUGAAAGAGGAGGAUGGAUCUUCAUCAUUACUCUUUUAUAUUUUAUCCCUAAAUUUUAUGGAUCAGGGUUUUAUGUUUCCUUGUCAGUCUAUCUAGCUAACUCUUCCAUCUUCAUCAUUGAACUAGUUUUUCUCAUGAUGGCUCCAAGAAUCUUAUCUGUCUGUUUCUGGUCCUUACUGAUCUACACUCUAAUUGGCUUCUUUUGCCCACUUCAACUACCACAAACCUCUAGGGUUUCAUCAUAAUGAGCUUACCUUAUUAGCCCACAGUUACUUUCUUAUUCGAUAUGUAUAUAUGUUUUGUCAUUUUUCUUUCCCCUAUGCUAUCUCAUUUAACUAGAAAAUAAGAUCAAAAUGUGUAUUAUACAAAGUUUUUUUUUUUUUUUUUGUAUAAUAAGUCAUAACUGCUUUAAUUGGCAUCAGAUGGUUGUAUACUUGUCUCUUCAUCUUUCUGUGCCACUUUUGAGAGUGGUAGUGGGUGGUAAUCUCCUCUCCUCUCCUCUCCUUUUUGUUUUGUUUCUGCUUUUUCUUUAUCUUAUGGUUACCUUUAUGUUAAAGCUUAGAUCUGUGCCCUUUGGUCAACUCAUGUCCUUUGCAUGCUUGAAGAGAUCAUGGGCUACACCCAGCUGUUGCAUACGUAUGGAAAGUAGCUAGCUAGGGUUCCGUCCUUGAAUUUCCAUAACUUUUUUCUUAUGUAAUGUAGCUUAUAUUUGUAAGAUAAUUUGAUCCUUUGCUAAAACAAUUUAGUUUUCUUAUGUGAGUCAUUUGCUAGCGUGAAGCUUCUUCCAUUACCUUAGAGAGAGGUGGAAGAAUGAUUAAUCUUUCAACUUGCUAUAUAUGCUGAUCCAUCUAUUACUUGAAGUGAAACCCUGUUAUAACCUCUCUGGCUUGUCCAUAAACUAUGCUGUGGUUCUGAGCAUUUCACUCUAAAGAAGAGAAUAUGAUGUGAUGGACUGGACCUUUGAUUUUGCUUGACCAUGCAGUCUUCUUCUGCCAUACAUGAGCAGCAACUUGUAGUUUUGGAAUCAAAGCUUUUGCUCCUGUCUUCUCUAAAAAGCUAGAAAUCUAAAUUCCUAACAUUCGAGGGGGGGACUUUGAUAUGCUUUACACUGAGUUACUCUGUGGACUGUUCUUUGAGUUGCACAUUCGCUUCAUACAAACCCAGAUUCUUCAGGGAGCAACUUCGAUUUGCAAUUGGUAUUUUGCCUUGAAAGUGUUUCGAUUCUUGGAAAAUGGAGGUUUUCAAUUUGCGCUUCCUCGAGCUGGUGGAUACAUAAACUGCAUUUCUUGGAAUUCAUUUUUGUUGACUAGUGUUUUCUGGUUUUGAUUUUCUAAGCCCUCAAAGUAUGUGUCUAGCUGAGAGAGUGAGAGGGAGAGGGAGAGUUCAUUACCCAAAACCUGAGUUCUUCAUCUCCCAAAAACAACAAUAAAUAAAUAAAAAUAGAACAAAAAAUUCAUGUUGCCCAAGACAUAAUGAGUUCCUCCAACCCAACACAGAGCUAGUACGAAACAAAAAUACUGCUAUGUGUAUAUCUAAUUAAUUAAUUAUUAUUAUUCUUAUUACUA